rnacentral:rRNA from 1 species
UAGGGAAUAUUGGUCAAUGGGUGAGAGCCUGAACCAGCCAUGCCGCGUGCAGGAAGAAGGCCUUCUGGGUUGUAAACUGCUUUUAUAUAGGAAGAAAAAGCCAUGCGUGGUACUAUGACGGUACUAUAUGAAUAAGCACCGGCUAACUCCGUGCCAGCAGCCGCGGUAAUACGGAGGGUGCAAGCGUUGUCCGGAAUUAUUGGGUUUAAAGGGUGCGUAGGCGGCUUAUUAAGUCGGAGUUGAAAUACCUUAGCUUAACUAAGGAACUGGCUUCGAUACUGGUAAGCUUGAGGACAGUAGAGGUACAUGGAAUUCAUUGUGUAGCGGUGAAAUGCAUAGAUACAAUGAAGAACACCAAUUGCGAAGGCAGUGUACUGGACUGUAACUGACGCUGAGGCAC